rnacentral:lncRNA from 1 species
CGCUGGCCACAUUAGCAUUGGAGGGUAAUUGUUUAAAUCAUUGUUCAUCUUGCACGUGUGACAUUUUCUAGCAAUACAUUGAAAAAUUGGAGAUGCUAGUAGAAACUAGUUUGCACACAAUCAAUAUUUGGACAUAAGACUCGUUGACAGUGAACUAUUUCAUGCUCCAUGGCGGUUUAUAGAACGCUAGGUAUUGACAAAUAUCAGUGUUUUGCGCUAUAAUGCUUAGACUCUUCAAAAAUAUCCGUUGGUCGCCACAAUGGAUCCUUUUUCUUCGUCAUUUUCAUCUUCGACCUCGUCCCAAAAGUGUAUGUCGAACGAAAUUGAGAUCCAAAAGCAGAGGGACCGAAAAGCUUAGCAAGAAGUGUGAGAGAGAGGGGUUGCACUUUGUAAUGGAGAUAUUUAGGAAACAGUAAUGAAACCCGUUCAUGAACAAUUAGAUGAAAAAUGAUAUGUCCUUUUGGAGUCAACAAUCAGAUACAAACAAGUCUAAUGAGAACACAGGGGUCCACAAAUGAACAGUGCAAUUACAUCCUCUCUUUAGAGGGAAUGUAGGAUAUAUAAAUGAAAAUAGGUUUGGGGAUCAGGGAAAAUGACAAAAUUAAGGACAUGAGAAAAGCUAUUGACUGUUCUCAACAAAUUUCACCGAAAUGAUCAGACUGCACAGAUCCUCUGUCCAUCACACAUUUCCUCAAUUAUAACAUAAGGAAAAAGAUAUAUGUACCGAUAGGGAUAACCGAACCGUGUCCCCCCUCUCACGAAUCAUGUGGGCCCCACGUGUAUUUAAAAAAUCCGAGCCGUGGUUCCCAUCCUAUAUUAUGAGUAUUGGGUAAAAGAUUAGGUAAAAUUUUUAUGUACAUGUAGCAUGGUCCAUAAUAUAAGUGGGUUUAAUUAACUAACGCAUUUUAUUUAAUGGGGCUAUACACCCUUUUAAUAAAGGCAAAAGUCCCAUUUUCUCCAUUCUAACGUAACGUGUUUAAUUAACUAAGACAAUUUAUUUAAAAACUGAAUUUAAUUAAAGUAAAACGGCACAGUGUGGACUUAAUCAAAACAACGUUGCAGGCAAUUUCAAUUUCAGCGAAUGAGAUAUGCUACACCUGACACUUAGGCCGGGAUGAAUCCAGGAAUCUUUUCCAUUGCCUUCACUUCCUCAGGUGAUAAUCUAGCAGCAAAACCUUUAAAAAUAAUAUCAUAGGCAUGGAUAAUGCGAGAUUCCUCAUCUGCUGUGGUUUUGGGCAAAAAUGUUUGAUACUAGCUAAGCAGAUCAUCUGAAGAAUUGGGAGGCGGAUCAACGCGAACAAUAUAUGGUAGCAGAUUACUGUUGCAUAGGAGAGAGAAGAAAAUACAGAAGAAAGUAAGAAACUGCAAGAAACCCAUCAUUCUUUGUGAUUACUGCAAAAGAAAGUAAUAUGUAUGGAAUGCAAUGAAGCUCACAUUAUAGGCGUGCACUAUAAUGACAGUUUCCAGGAUUAAUAACAGAAAACACCCCAGCAAUUGGCUGCCAAGACUUUAUUUUUCACCAGCCAUCAUAUUUCCUUACUCCACCUACUGCCCUAAAUUCCCAACACACAGUGCACAUGUCCACAAGAAAAUACCAAAUAGAUCUGUACUGUCUCUCCAUAGAUUUUAAACAUAUAAUUAUUCAAGAAAGGGCCAAAAUCCCAUAAUUUUAUGUAAAAUAAAUAAAUAAAAAUUGAAGGGAUUUGAUCUAGUUUUCAUACACACGCAACUAGAGGAAAAAAAUGUUAGAAUCCCAUAAAUUAUCGAGGAAAAAAAUGAGGAAAAUUGAUCGGAUAAACGCCCUGUUACGGACGAGUUAAUUUUGAAAAUUUUCCUGCACAUGGAUCCGGAGAUGGUGCUCCGGGGGCUCGGCGGCCAUCCCCUCCAUUUAGGUGCCUCCGCCAGUCCCAUCUCAAUUGACCUCCGCCGGUUUAUCCAUGUUCAUAACAAGUUCUUCCACAAGAGCAUCUCAGUCUCGCCCCAUGUCCAAUCUGUAAGGAACCAAAAUCAGACUCUAUAGCUUAGAUCUCAUAAACAUAACCCAAGAAAUACACAAAUUUCAUCGCACUAAUACCCCAAAAAAUCAUAAUUGAAUGAAUAUCAAAGAGUCCAACCAAACGAGUAACAAGGGCAUCACAGCCAUUGAGAGAAAGCACAAUUCAGGUUUUAACUAAUCGGCGAAUGAAAAGGAGGAAACGGUUUCCACAAUGACUUUUGACCCACAUUUAAGAAAAAAUGCUUAAAAUGUAAAUAAAAGACAAAUGGGCUAAAAUACCCACGAAGAAAAGAAAAGAGAAGAGAAUAGAAGAGAAAAAAAUAAUAAUAAUAAUUUGUGUAGUGGCUCUAAAUUGUGUAAUCUGUAACGAAAAUACAGAGCUGACUCUUAGAAAAUUGAGGCCCUAGGCAACUAAUAAAGCAACAAAUGAUAAACUAAUAAAUUUUAAAAAUGGCUAAUUAAACAUAAUCAUCAGUUAAACUAUGGUAUAUAUUCUCUACACAGUUCCAUCUUCACCAGAUAAUACUAGAUGAUGAUGAUAAACCAAGGGUUUAUUAGGAUGUUUAUCAUGCUUCAACCUUUUCAUUCCUUUUGGUAAGUAUAAAAUCUAUUUCCCCGCAAUUACAUUUGUAAAUAAUAUAACUUCAUUCUUUUUGUACUGUAUAUACAUCAAGCAAUGAAAGUUAAGAAACAUAUUCUUUCAUUCGAGCAGGAAAUUUCCUUAAUCCUUUCCAAAUUAUUGGAACUCCAAUAGAACCUGAAGGCACACAAGUACGUGCACCAAGUAUUCUCUUAUUUAUUUUGCAUUUUCCUUGUCAUCCCAGUUUAAAAUUCAGCCGUUAACAUUAGAAAGUACAUAUAAGCAAAGCUAUUGUACCAUUAGCUUAAUUUUAAUAGACAAACGGUGUCACAAAAUCCAAUGUAAAAUUCAAUAUCCCAAUGUUAUAGAUCAGAUCUAUUAUAGAAUUCAAUGGAUCGAUAAACCUAUAAAAACGACUUUCAUUCAUUCUGAAAUUAGAAAUCUGCAUUUUACGGCAUUCACUUCUAAAUGAACAAUAAAGAAAAAUACAAUCUUGAAAAUAAUACAUGAGACGAGAGAAAUUAAUGAACAUGAAACGAUUACUUGUAAUUUCUUCUGCAAAUCUACUUCUGUGAACUUUAUAAUCGAGAAUUUUUGAAUCUUUUCACCGUCCAUCUUCUAACCUAUAUAAAAAAGGGAUUUACUCUGAGUAAGUGGGUGGAUUUUGGACGGUAUUGGGGGAUGUUUCGGUUGCUCUUCAUUUUGUUUUAAAGCCCCUGCAAAUCUAAGGCCCAAGGCGGCUA